GAUAGCUUCGCGAAAGCGGAGGUAAUACCUCAUGUCCCCGUAGUAUUAUGUAUUACGGGUAAAGACGGCCUCUACUUGUAAGCUGUCACCUUAAGAAGGGCCCGCGUCCUAUCAGGUAGUUGGUGGAGUAAAAGCCCACCAAGCCGAAGACGGGUAGCUGGCGUAAGAGCGUGGUCAGCCACAUCGGAACUGAGACACUGUCCGGACUCCUACGGGAGGCUGCAGUCGAGAACCUUUCCCAAUGGACGAAAGUCUGAGGAUGCGACGCCGCGUGGGGGAUGAAGGUUUUCGGAUUGUAAACCCCUUUUAUUGAGGAGGAAGGCUCUGGGGCGAAUAGUGCCCAGAGAUUGACUGUACUCGAUGAAUACCCACGGCUAACUCCGUGCCAGCAGCCGCGGUAAUACGGAGGUGGCGAGCGUUACUCGGUAUGACUGGGUGUAAAGGGUCCGUAGGCGGUUAUGUAAGUGUCAGGUGAAAUCUUUCGGCUUAACUGAAAAAUUGCCUUUCAUACUGCGUAACUUGAGGAUGGAAGAGGAGAGUGGAACUGUUGGUGUAAAGGUGAAAUUUGUGGAUAUCAACAGGAACGCCUAUGGAGAAGUCAGCUCUCUGGUCCAUUCCUGACGCUGAGGGACGAAAGCUUGGGGAGCGAACAGGAUUAGAUACCCUGGUAGUCCAAGCUGUAAACGAUGGGCACUAGGUGUCCGGCUUCGGCUGGGUGCCGCAGCUAACGCAUUAAGUGCCCCACCUGGGGACUACGGUCGCAAGGCUAAAACUCAAAGGAAUUGACGGGGGCCCGCACAAGCGGUGGAACACGUGGUUUAAUUCGAUGCUACGCGAGAAACCUUACCUGGGUUUGACAUGCUAGUAGUAGUAUCCCGAAAGGGAGUCCGACCGGUAACCAGUCCGGAGCUAGCACAGGUGCUGCAUGGCUGUCGUCAGCUCGUGCCGUGAGGUGUUCCCUUAAGUGGGAGAACGAGCGCAACCCUCGCCUUUAGUUGCCACCCUUAAUUUCGGUUAAGGCGCACUCUAGAGGGACUGCCCGCGUUAAGUGGGAGGAAGGUGGGGAUGACGUCAAGUCCGCAUGGCCCUUAUGUCCAGGGCGACACACGUGUUACAAUGCUUACUACAACGAGAGGCAAAUCCGCGAGGUGGAGCAAAUCUCUAAAAAGUAGGCUCAGUACGGAUUGCAGGCUGAAAUUCGCCUGCGUGAAGCUGGAA
rnacentral:rRNA from 1 species